CAAUAAGCGGAGGAAAAGAAACUAACAAGGAUUCCCCUAGUAACUGCGAGUGAAGCGGGAAAAGCUCAAAUUUAAAAUCUGGUGGUCUUUGGCCAUCCGAGUUGUAAUCUAGAGAAGUGCUAUCCGCGUUGGACCGUGUACAAGUCUCCUGGAAUGGAGCGUCAUAGAGGGUGAGAAUCCCGUCUUUGACACGGACUACCAGUGCUUUGUGAUACGCUCUCAAAGAGUCGAGUUGUUUGGGAAUGCAGCUCAAAAUGGGUGGUAAAUUCCAUCUAAAGCUAAAUAUUGGCGAGAGACCGAUAGCGAACAAGUACCGUGAGGGAAAGAUGAAAAGAACUUUGGAAAGAGAGUUAAACAGUACGUGAAAUUGCUGAAAGGGAAACGCUUGAAGUCAGUCGCGUYGUCUGGGAAUCAACCUUACUUUUGUGGGGUGUACUUUCCUGAUGACGGGUCAGCAUCAAUUUUGACCGUUGGAUAAAGUGUAAGGGAAUGUGGCAUCUUCGGGUGUGUUAUAGCCUUUGCUCGCAUACAACGGUUGGGAUUGAGGAACUCAGUACGCCGCAAGGCCGGGAUUCGUCCACGUUCGUACUUAGGAUGCUGGCAUAAUGGCUUUAAUCGACCCGUCUUGAAACACGGACCAAGGAGUCUAACAUGCCUGCGAGUGUUUGGGUGGAAAACCCGAGCGCGUAAUGAAAGUGAAAGUUGAGAUCCCUGUCGUGGGGAGCAUCGACGCCCGGACCAGACCUUUUGUGACGGAUCUGCGGUAGAGCAUGUAUGUUGGGACCCGAAAGAUGGUGAACUAUGCCUGAAUAGGGUGAAGCCAGAGGAAACUCUGGUGGAGGCUCGUAGCGAUUCUGACGUGCAAAUCGAUCGUCAAAUUUGGGUAUAGGGGCGAAAGACUAAUCGAACCAUCUAGUAGCUGGUUCCUG
rnacentral:rRNA from 1 species